rnacentral:rRNA from 1 species
AUUGAACGCUGGCGGCAGGCCUAACACAUGCAAGUCGAGCGGAUGACGGGAGCUUGCUCCUUGAUUCAGCGGCGGACGGGUGAGUAAUGCCUAGGAAUCUGCCUGGUAGUGGGGGACAACGUUUCGAAAGGAACGCUAAUACCGCAUACGUCCUACGGGAGAAAGCAGGGGACCUUCGGGCCUUGCGCUAUCAGAUGAGCCUAGGUCGGAUUAGCUUGUUGGUGAGGUAAUGGCUCACCAAGGCGACGAUCCGUAACUGGUCUGAGAGGAUGAUCAGUCACACUGGAACUGAGACACGGUCCAGACUCCUACGGGAGGCAGCAGUGGGGAAUAUUGGACAAUGGGCGAAAGCCUGAUCCAGCCAUGCCGCGUGUGUGAAGAAGGUCUUCGGAUUGUAAAGCACUUUAAGUUGGGAGGAAGGGUUGUAGAUUAAUACUCUGCAAUUUUGACGUUACCGACAGAAUAAGCACCGGCCAACUCUGUG